GGCUAGCUCAGUUGGUAGAGCAUGGUGUUUGCAACGCCAGGGUUGUGGGUUCGAUUCCCACGGGGGGCCA
rnacentral:tRNA from 1 species